CCAAUCAACCUCUGAUGACACCUAACUGGUUUAUGGCUUUAGGGUGCUGGGCUGCACCUCAUUGGCUCUUAAUAUGAACACCACAAGAUCUUAUCAAGUGGACAGUCUCUUCUUUUUAUGUGCACUAAGCAGAUUUGUCUUCAAUCCAAUGGAAGGAGUAGAUAAUCCAGCCAUGGUCCAUGUUGAAGAUUCAGUUCACUAUAAGUCCAGCAAGUGGGGGACCAGCACAGAAUGCAGGAGUAAGGAAAGGAGAUUGGCUUGUCUGGAUCAAUCCAGUGGAAUGUUAGGUAAAGAAGAGCAGCGAUC